CACGUGGAUAACCUGCCCUAAGGUCGGGCAUAACCCCGGGAAACUGGGGAUAAUACCCCAUAGGUUAGAGAUGCUGGAAUGCCCUUUAACCCAAAGCUCCGGCGCCUUAGGAUGGAUCUGCGGCCGAUUAGGUAGUUGUUGGGGUAACGGCCCAACAAGCCCGUAAUCGGUACGGGUUGUGGGAGCAAGAGCCCGGAGAUGGACUCUGAGACACGAGUCCAGGCCCUACGGGGCGCAGCAGGCGCGAAAACUUUACAAUGCAGGAAACUGUGAUAAGGGAACCCCGAGUGCCCGUAUACGCGGGCUGUCCAGGUGUGUAAAAAGCAUCUGAAGAAAGGGCCGGGCAAGACCGGUGCCAGCCGCCGCGGUAAUACCGGCGGCUCGAGUGGUGGCCACUUUUAUUGGGCUUAAAGCGUUCGUAGCUUGGUUGUUAAGUCUCUUGGGAAAUCUCACGGCUUAACCGUGAGGCGUCUAAGGGAUACUGGCAACCUAGGGACCGGAAGAGGUGAGAGGUACUCCAG
rnacentral:rRNA from 1 species